rfam:Arabidopsis thaliana chromosome 3, complete sequence.
AGGGACUGUCGUCUCGGUUCGCGAUCCACAAGUAAUCUUUUGUGGAGAUUAUGAAAACAAUCAUCACGAGAGGCUACGUGUGGGUGGCAAACAAAGACGACAAUCCCU